UCAAAGAUGGAUGGAGAAUGAAUUGGAUGAAAUGACAGAAACAGGCUUCAGACGGUGGGUAAUAACAAACUUCUCUGAGCUAAAAGAACAUGUUCUAACCCAAUGCAAGGAAACUAUGAACCUGGAAAAAAGGUUAGAUAAAAUGAUGAAAAGAAUAAAGAA